AGUGGAUGGGGAGCAACCUAGUUGUGCGUGUGUAAAGGUAGUGCCAAGAAAAGCGAUGAUCAUGUUGAAAAUCAAUUCCCGGUACCCGAAACCGACACAGGUGGGCAAGUAGAGAAUACUAAGGGGCGCGAGGUAACUCUCUCCAAGGAACUCGGCAAAAUGACCCCGUAACUUAGGGAGAAGGGGUGCCACCGAGAGGUGGUCGCAGUGAAGAGGCCCAGGCGACUGUUUUGCAAAAACAUAGGUCUCUGCAAACUCGAAAGAGGAGGUAUAGGGGCUGACGCCUGCCCAGUGCCGGAAGGUUAAAGAAGUUGGUCAGUUUUAGGAUGAAGCUAGCGACUGGAGCCCCGGUGAACGGCGGCCGUAACUAUAACGGUCCUAAGGUAGCGAAAUUCCUUGUCGGGUAAGUUCCGACCCGCACGAAAGGCGUAACGAUCUGGGCGCUGUCUCGGAGAGAGGCUCGGCGAAAUAGGAUUGUCUGUGAAGAUACGGACUACCUGCAUUUGGACAGAAAGACCCUAUGAAGCUUUACUAUAGCUUGGAAUUGUGUUCGGGCUUCCUGUGCGCAGGAUAGGUGGGAGGCGUAGAAGGUAUUCUUGUGGGGAUACUGGAGCCAACGGUGAGAUACCACUCUCAGGAGGCUAGAAUUCUAACUUAAUUAAGGACAGUUUCAGGUGGGUAGUUUGACUGGGGCGGUCGCCUCCAAAAAGGUAACGGAGGCGUACAAAGGUUCCCUCAGACUGGUUGGAAAUCAGUCGAAGAGUGCAAAGGCAGAAGGGAGCUUGACUGCGAGAAGUACAGUUCGAGCAGGGUGGAAACACGGUCUUAGUGAUCCGACGGUGCUGUGUGGAAGGGCCGUCGCUCAACGGAUAAAAGUUACUCUAGGAUAACAGGCUGAUCUCCCCCAAGAGUUCACAUCGACGGGGAGGUUUGGCACCUCGAUGUCGGCUCAUCGCAACCUGGGGCGGAAGUACGUCCCAAGGGUUGGGCUGUUCGCCCAUUAAAGCGGUACGUGAGCUGGGUUCAGAACGUCGUGAGACAGUUCGGUCCAUAUCCGAUGUAGGCGUGAGAAUAUUGAGAGGAGCCCUCCUUAGUACGAGAGGACCGGGAAGGACGCACCGCUGGUGUACCUGUUAUGAUGCCAAUUGUAAACGCAGGGUAGCCAAGUGCGGAGAGGAUAACCGCUGAAAGCAUCUAAGUGGGAAGCCCACCUCAAGAUGAGUAUUCUGUUGUAAGGUCACGGGAAGACGACCCGUAAAUAGGCACGAGGUGGAAGUGCAGAGAUGUAUGAAGCCGAAGUGUACUAAUAGACCGUCGGCUUGACCG
rnacentral:rRNA from 1 species